UGGCAUAUAGUUCAGAGGCAGAACGCUUGGCCGUUAACCAAGAUGUCGCUGGUUCGAUUCCGGCUAUGCCAG
rnacentral:tRNA from 2 species